rnacentral:lncRNA from 1 species
CACCCCGUCAUCAUCAUGCUGAUUUGCUGCUGCCGCUCGUCCUCCUACUCCAUCUGCAUGGACAAGAGCAAGUUAGUUGAAUGGCAUGCACGAUAAAAUUGCAAGGCAUAUAUAUUCAUCUACAUUAAUUGUACUACAGUACAAAUUUUGCAUGGAUGGGUUUGACUUCAACAGAGACUGAAGGAAGAGCAUUUUCCCCUCCCAAUCCAAAACCUGUUGUACAAGUACAGCUCUAAGAGAAGGAACUGUGGUACAACAAGAGGCGCUCCAAAUCAAACUAAAUCUUAGUUUCUUUAUUUACCUAAGAAACAGCACAACCAUAACUUCUGCCAAGCAAGCAGUUAUCAUACUAUCAGCUAAAAGAAAAACAAAGGGAGAUCACGUGUCACUUUCAUGGAAAACAUCAAAAGUAGAUGAUAGGAAAAAGUAGAUGAUCAUCAAAUUCCCUCACACUCAACAGUGAAAAAUGCUACUACCAUUGAUAGCAAGGACUAACUAUUCCCACUACCUGGAUGCAGCGUCCUUCAUUUUGCAAACAAAAAAAAGAGCACAUUAUCAAACUCCUUCACAUACAUAAAUGAAUAGAAGCAACCAAAUUCAACGGUACUACCAAAAUCAAAUUACUAAUAUAAUAGAUGGACGCCCAUCAUCAAAAUUGGUAACAUAAUCCAAGAAGUUCAGUAGCUAGUAUUAAUUAAUAUAAUCUAGUUGAUUAAGAGGAGCAAGCACGGAUUGGGUUUGAAGCACUCAAGUUACAUCUAGCGCUGCUUGAGGAUGGUCUCCUACAAGGGUCCAGACCUCAUCUUCUCAUCGAUCUUGAGGAUGGUCUCCUACAAGGGUCCUACGAGUAGCCUUUUUAUCAUGAAAGGAGUACAAGUAGCAUUGCUUUGAUUCUAAUUGUAAUUCCUAGUUGAUUAUCAAAAUUCUGUAUGAGCAAAUAUCCAUUGCCAAAUACUCCUACAUGACAGAUCUAGCACAUGACCAAAAUAAGUGCUCCAUAGCCACAACCGGACUGACCAAAAUGCAACUAAAUAUGACCAAUAACUACCAAUUCAUGGAUGAUCUGAACCUGUACCCGCCGAUGCUCGCCGUGGACUCUGCCAUCAGCGCCGAGACGCCGCCGUUGAGAAUCUUGAAGGGCUGCGACCAUCCCGACCACGCCGACGUUGCUGUGCCUGCAGCAACAGCAGCUCGACGCCGCCGGGGCCUCCUCUAAACAAGACAGAAAUAAAAAGCAUGUAUCUGCAUGUAGAGUCAUUUGAAGUUCGUUUCAUCAGUAGGAGUGCAAGUGGCAGCCCGCUUCGUCCCACGAAACUCAUCCAUUAGUUCAAAAUUUGCUCAACAUUUGCCUAAAAGUAACACUACAUUUGUACUACUAUGUUACUGUCCACUAGCCCGCCACACUUGCAUUGCAUCCUUAAUCCGAAGCGAUUGAUGAGCUAGCUAAUGAAUGUCGUUUUGCUUGUACCACAUAACUAGUCAGUUUUGUGUUGCCUUUUGAUCCCUAACCUGUGACGCGAAGGCUUUCUGGAGCUACUGCCGAAGCAGUGCUCUGAACUGGCGGGCUGCAGCCAGGGUCUCGUCCAGCUUGGCCUUCUUAGCCAUGAGGUCGGCCUUCCUGGCUUCCGCAGCCCCGAUCCCGGCGUCGUCCGAGUGCAAC